GACGAACGCUGGCGGCGUGCUUAACACAUGCAAGUCGAACGAAGUGGCGAACGGGUGAGUAACGCGUCAUCAACCUGCCCUUCAGAGGGGGACAACAGUUGGAAACGACUGCUCAUACCGCAUACUGAAGGAGGGGCGUUCGUCUGAUUCGCUAGUUGGAGGGGUAACGGCCCAUCAAGGCGAUGAUCAGUAGACGGUCUGGAGGGAUUGACCGCAACAUUUGGACUGGGACACGGCCCAGACUCCUACGGGAGGCAGCAGUGGGGAAUCUUUCGCAAUGGAGGAAAGUCUGACGGAGCAACGCCGCGGGAGUGAUGACGGCCUUCGGGUUGUAAAGCUCUGUUAAUCGGGACGCGGUACCGGAAUAGAAAGCCACGGCUAACUACGUGCCAGCAGCCGCGGUAAUAC
rnacentral:rRNA from 1 species